CGCAAUCAGGUUUUGCAACAUAGUACAUACGUCUGUUUAGUCGUUAAAGAGUUGAUUAGGAAUGCAUUAAAGUAGCGGAAGGUUUUGUGAGUCAGCAAUCACAAUCGACACCUCUGGCCAUCAUGAAAGCGUGUGGCCUUAAAACUAAACGGUGCGCAAUCCCAUCAAGAAGCACAAUAUCAAGAAUCAGAGGCCACGCUGCGUUCCUGUAUACCGUCCGGCAACAGACAAAUUCGACGGAAACGAGACGCUUUCAUGAGUCCAGGGGCGUGAGUAGAUAUAUACUCCAGAGAGUGGGCUCGGAGGCAUCACGUCUUUCCUGUCUCAGCCGCCAUCGAGCCGUCACGCGGCGGGAGGUUCUGCAGGCCUGGGAUCAGCUGAGGCACCGGAGGAAUCCAUCCCCAAUGGCUGGCGCUUGAACUUCUUUUUCUUUUAAAUGUUUUUAUUGUUUUAAUGUAUAAAUAUUUAACCCUCAAAAUAAAACAUUUUGUUCUUA